GUCCACGCCCUAAACGAUGUCAACUAGGUGUUGGGUGGGUAAAACCAUUUAGUACCGAAGCUAACGCAUGAAGUUGACCGCCUGGGGAGUACGGCCGCAAGGUUAAAACUCAAAGGAAUUGACGGGGACCCGCACAAGCGGUGGAUGAUGUGGAUUAAUUCUACGCAACGCGAAAAACCUUACCUACCCUUGACAUGUCAGGAACUUUCCAGAGAUGGAUUGGUGCCCGAAAGGGAGCCUGAACACAGGUGCUGCAUUGCUGUCGU
rnacentral:rRNA from 1 species